rnacentral:rRNA from 1 species
UACGUAGGCGGAUCAGAAAGUAUAGGGUGAAAUCCCAGGGCUCAACCCUGGAACUGCCUUAUAAACUCCUGGUCUUGAGUUCGAGAGAGGUGAGUGGAAUUCCAAGUGUAGAGGUGAAAUUCGUAGAUAUUUGGAGGAACACCAGUGGCGAAGGCGGCUCACUGGCUCGAUACUGACGCUGAGGUACGAAAGUGUGGGGAGCAAACAGGAUUAGAUACCCUGGUAGUC